GACCCGCCUCUGUCCUGUUCUCCUGCAGUCACUUAAAACUUUUUAGUUUUCCACUAAAAUAUCCAGAUGAGAUCAUUUCAUGGGUGGGGAGAAUGGAGGCAGGGAGAGUCACAUGUGGACAGGGUGAAGGUUUAGGACGCUCACUGUGGAGGAUGAGGAAGCAGCCGCCCUGUAGGUGGUGUGGGUCUGUCGCUCUCUAGGAGUCAGCACAGCCCUUACGCCCUGCAGAAUCCUAGUAUGGGGAGGCAGAGCUCACCCAGCAGUGGGUGUGCGCUCACUGAUAAGCCCUGAGCUAGGGUUAGGCCUGUGAGACAGGGCAUUUGCCCUGUGAUGCCAGAUUGCUGCCAUCCUUAUGUGCUGGGUCCAGAGUUCCCGCAGGUGCAGACACCUGGCCACUGGGCCCGUCUGGGGCCACUGAGGCGAUGCUGCCGCCUGUGGGGCGAUGAUGGAACCCUUUGAGUCAGAAUCUGCCCGGGAAGCCAUGGGGCAGUCUGGGAGCCUGGGGUGGCCUCAGGUGACUGAAGCCCAUGGACGCAGGUCUGGGCGCUAUGCAGACCCCCUGGCCCUGGGAAACAGGACCCAGAAAGGUGGUGGCUUCUUUGAUUUCAGGGACUCCAGGUUGAUGGAGACCCUAGGGCUGAACCCUCCCUAAGGAAGUUGCUUCUGGGUCGGGUAAACAGCAGCGUGGCCCCCUCCCUGCGAUCUAUUCCACAUCAGCACUGGGCACGAGGGUUUGUCCCUGGCACGGGGCCUGAAGAAUGUGCUUCAGGUGCCUUGGCUGGCCUUUGCUUCCUCCUUCCAACCCCGGGGGCUCCUCCAUGGCCCACACCCUCUGCAUCCUGCCCCACCCUGCUGAGGCUCCGGCUUUGGCCCAAAGUCAGACUAAGUGUGGCAUCUCUGGGCCCUGGACCUGCCCAGUGAGUUUUCCAGGAUCCCAAGGGACGCAUGCCUGGGAUAGGUGUGUGGCAGGUCAGGUUUCUGUUAGCGACCAGAAGAGUCAGUUUCCACUAAACUUUAAUUUUAUGAAUGCAUUAACACAUUAAACAUUAUAGAACUGGAAAAA
rnacentral:lncRNA from 1 species